rnacentral:rRNA from 1 species
UACGAAGGGGGCUAGCGUUGCUCGGAAUCACUGGGCGUAAAGCGCACGUAGGCGGAUCUUUAAGUCAGGGGUGAAAUCCCAAGGCUCAACCUUGGAACUGCCUUUGAUACUGGGGAUCUCGAGUCCGGAAGAGGUGAGUGGAACUGCGAGUGUAGAGGUGAAAUUCGUAGAUAUUCGCAAGAACACCAGUGGCGAAGGCGGCUCACUGGUCCGGUACUGACGCUGAGGUGCGAAAGCGUGGGUAGCGAACAGG